GAAUCCUUGGAGGUAGCAGGAUCCUAUGGAUCUAGAUGGGCCUGGCACGCCGCGGUCUGCCAGCAGGCGGAUCGUCGCGAGCUGGCGGGAGACUGGUUUGGGCCAGAAGAAGUUGUGGGAUUCCCUGGAACUGGAGCAACCAACAGUUUGUGUGCACCAUGUGGGUAAUGGGAAUCGAACCUGGGUCCUCUAUAAGACUGGCCAGUGCUCUUAACUACUGAGGUGCAUUUCUUUCGGAAUUGAUUCACAUAACUAUUAUGCUAUACUGUUUGAAGUAUUUAUUAGAAA
rnacentral:lncRNA from 1 species